rnacentral:SRP_RNA from 1 species
GCCGAGAGAUUGGCGGACGACUGACCUGCCAAUCCGGUCAGACCCGGAAGGGAGCAGCCGUAACAGGAUAUGUCGGGUCGUUCAAUCUCUCACCAAC